UACGUAGGGUGCAGGCGUUAAUCGGAAUUACUGGGCGUAAAGCGUGCGCAGGCGGUUUCUUAAGUCAGAUGUGAAAGCCCCGGGCUUAACCUGGGAACUGCGUUUGAAACUGGGAGACUUGAGUGUGGCAGAGGGGGGUGGAAUUCCACGUGUAGCAGUGAAAUGCGUAGAUAUGUGGAGGAACACCAAUGGCGAAGGCAGCCCCCUGGGUCAACACUGACGCUGAGACGCGAAAGCGUGGGGAGCGAACAGG
rnacentral:rRNA from 1 species